GGUAGCCUAGUGGUUAGGAUUCAGCAUUGUCACUGCUGUGGCUUGGGUUCAAUCCCUAACC
rnacentral:tRNA from 1 species